UGCCUCCCCAAGGGGUGCCUUACUUACACAGGCUGAGAUCAUACCCUAAGGACUGCCCACCGAAUGAGUUCUCGAGAAAAUCCGGGGGCGGCCCCAAAACCUGAUCCGGGUAAUGCCGGCGGAGGGACAAUAGGUGGUUUUCAUCUC
rnacentral:ncRNA from 22 species